rnacentral:tRNA from 1 species
GCAGUCGUGGCCGAGUGGUUAAGCGAUGGACUAGAAAUCCAAAGGGGUCUUCCCGCACAGAUUCAAAUCCUGUGGACUGUG